rnacentral:rRNA from 1 species
GACGAACGCUGGCGGCGUGCCUAAUACAUGCAAGUAGAACGCUGAAGAGAGGAGCUUGCUCUUCUUGGAUGAGUUGCGAACGGGUGAGUAACGCGUAGGUAACCUGCCUGGUAGCGGGGGAUAACUAUUGGAAACGAUAGCUAAUACCGCAUAAUAGUAGAUGUUGCAUGACAUUUGCUUAAAAGGUGCAAUUGCAUCACUACCAGAUGGACCUGCGUUGUAUUAGCUAGUUGGUGAGGUAACGGCUCACCAAGGCAACGAUACAUAGCCGACCUGAGAGGGUGAUCGGCCACACUGGGACUGAGACACGGCCCAGACUCCUACGGGAGGCAGCAGUAGGGAAUCUUCGGCAAUGGACGGAAGUCUGACCGAGCAACGCCGCGUGAGUGAAGAAGGUUUUCGGAUCGUAAAGCUCUGUUGUAAGAGAAGAACGAGUGUGAGAGUGGAAAGUUCACACUGUGACGGUAUCUUACCAGAAAGGGACGGCUAACUACGUGCCAGCAGCCGCGGUAAUACGUAGGUCCCGAGCGUUGUCCGGAUUUAUUGGGCGUAAAGCGAACGCAGGCGGUUAGAUAAGUCUGAAGUUAAAGGCUGUGGCUUAACCAUAGUACGCUUUGGAAACUGUUUAACUUGAGUGCAAGAGGGGAGAGUGGAAUUCCAUGUGUAGCGGUGAAAUGCGUAGAUAUAUGGAGGAACACCGGUGGCGAAAGCGGCUCUCUGGCUUGUAACUGACGCUGAGGCUCGAAAGCGUGGGGAGCAAACAGG